rfam:Dipodomys ordii contig_40443, whole genome shotgun sequence.
GGGAAGUUGGCUCAAUGGUAGAGUUCUUGCCUUGCAUGCAUGAGGCCUUGGGUUCCAUUCCUGAGCACCACA